GGAAUUCAGGGAAGGUGAAAGUGAGAAGAAAGUUGAGAGAGCCGAGAUUUUGUUUCCAAACAAGGAGUGAUAUUGAUGUUCUUGAUGAUGGUUACAAAUGGAGAAAGUAUGGUCAAAAAGUUGUCAAGAAUAGCCUUCAUCCAAGGAGUUACUACAGAUGUACACAUAGCAAUUGUCGAGUAAAGAAGAGAGUUGAACGACUUUCAGAAGAUUGUCGUAUGGUAAUAACAACCUAUGAAGGUAGACACAACCAUUCUCCUUGUGAUGAUUCAAACUCUUCUGAAAAUGAUUGUUUCUCCUCUUUCUAAAGUACCACCUACUUAUUAUAUAUCUAUCUCCAUAUACACACAUUUGCCUUUGUGAGGAACAAGGAAGCUAAUUAUUUGUGUGUCGGGUUCCGUUGAACGCACUUAUUUUUGUUCCAACAAUGUAUUUGUAUUAAGAAUUUUAUUAAAUAUGUAUACAUAUCAAAUUUAGAACUUAGUUGUUAA